rnacentral:rRNA from 1 species
CCUAUGGUUGGACCUAAAAAAGUUUGUUUUGCUUAUUAAUAAAGACAGCUAAAUGGCCGCGGUAACACUAACUGUGAAAAUGUAACGUAAUCAAUUGUUAAUUAAUUGUUGACCGGUAUGAAUGGUGUCACGAAAGUGUCUCUGUCUUAAAAAAAUACUUAAUGAAAUUGAAUUUGUAGUGAAGAUGCUACAUUAAAAUUGUAAGACGAGAAGUCCCCAUGGAGCUUUACUGAGGGCUUAUAAUUUUAUAUAAGCGGGACAGUUUUGUUGGGGCGACAGUUUUUUAAAAAGUAACAAAAACGAACUAUGGCUUAUCUUCACCCUGAAAAAUUUUUUAAGGGACAUUUUUGGUGUGUUUUAUGAUCCGUUGUUUGGAAUGAAAAAAACAACGAAAACAAAUAAAAGUUACCCUGGGGAUAACAGCGCAAUAACGUUUGAGAGUUAAUCAACGACGAUGUUUGCGCCUUCUAUGUUACUGCUAAGGGGGGAUCCUGAGCAGACACUUAUUUUUUAGGUGGGUUUAAGUGACCCGUUAAUUUAGGGUGAAAUAGUUAACGAUAAGCAAAUAAAAGUUACCCUGGGGAUAACAGCGCAAUAACGUUUGAGAGUUUCAUUGACG